UACAGAGGUCUCAAGCGUUGUUCGGAUUCAUUGGGCGUAAAGGGUGCGUAGGCGGCGCGGUAAGUCGGGUGUGAAAUCUCGGGGCUUAACUCCGAAACUGCAUUCGAUACUGCCGUGCUUGAGGACUGGAGAGGAGACUGGAAUUCAUGGUGUAGCAGUGAAAUGCGUAGAGAUCAGGAGGAACACCAAUGGCGAAGGCGGGUCUCUGGGCCGUAACUGACACUGAGAAGCGAAGGCAAGGGGAGCAAACGGG
rnacentral:rRNA from 1 species